rnacentral:rRNA from 1 species
UACGAAGGGGGCUAGCGUUGCUCGGAAUCACUGGGCGUAAAGGGCGCGUAGGCGGCCGAUCAAGUCGAGGGUGAAAGCCUGUGGCUCAACCACAGAAUUGCCUUCGAUACUGGUUGGCUCGAGACCGGAAGAGGUUAGUGGAACUGCGAGUGUAGAGGUGAAAUUCGUAGAUAUUCGCAAGAACACCAGUGGCGAAGGCGGCUAACUGGUCCGGUUCUGACGCUGAGGCGCGAAAGCGUGGGGAGCAAACAGG